AGAGUUUGAUGAUGGCUCAGAUUGAACGCUGGCGGUAUGCUUAACACAUGCAAGUCGAACGGUAACAGAGGAGAGCUUGCUCUCCUGCUGACGAGUGGCGGACGGGUGAGUAACGCGUAGGAAUCUGCCUAGUAGUGGGGGACAACCCGAGGAAACUCGGGCUAAUACCGCAUACGCCCUAUGGGGGAAAGCAGGGGAUCUUCGGACCUUGCGCUAUUAGAUGAGCCUGCGUCGGAUUAGCUAGUUGGUGAGGUAAUGGCUCACCAAGGCGACGAUCCGUAGCUGGUCUGAGAGGACGAUCAGCCACACUGGGACUGAGACACGGCCCAGACUCCUGCGGGAGGCAGCAGUGGGGAAUAUUGGACAAUGGGGGCAACCCUGAUCCAGCAAUACCGCGUGUGUGAAGAAGGCCUGCGGAUUGUAAAACACUUUCAAUUGUGAAGAAAGGCUUGGGAUUAAUAUUCUCGGGUCUUGACGUUAACUUUAGAAGAAGCACCGGCUAACCCUGUGCCAGCAGCCGCGGUAAUACAGGGGGUGCGAGCGUUAAUCGGAAUUACUGGGCGUAAAGCGUGCGUAGGCGGCUUGUUCAGUCAGGUGUGAAA
rnacentral:rRNA from 1 species